rnacentral:misc_RNA from 1 species
CAGAGUUCGUGCCCUUACGGGUAGAUCUCCCACCCUGUGUUAUCGUUACCUUUGUUGCUUUGGCGGGCCGCCCGGCCUCGGUCAGGCUACCGGCUCACGCUGGUAAGCGCCCGCCAGAGGACCCAACUCUUGUUUUUAGUGAUGUCUGAGUACUAUAUAAUAGUUA